AUAAUGUUCAUAGUUUUAUAUGAUGAUGUAAAUUGUAGUUAGUAUGUCAUUUUCAUUAUUUGGUCGCGUUAAAAAUUUCAUAGAAAUUGGUUAUUAAAGUUUGUGAUGUGAUUUAAUUAGAGUUACUGAUAAAAAAAUUAUUAUAAUUAAUUAUAUUAUUGAAUUUAAAAUAGGAUUUCCUUGUUUGAUGAAAGUGCAUGUAAAAUAAUAAUGUAAAUUAAGGUUAUUUGAUAGCAAAAUGAUAGAUAACAUUUCAUAGCAUUAAACAUUUAUUAAUUAUUGAUAUAUUUUUUUAUAUUGCUUGUUUGUGAUAACAUGCGUGAAAUUAUACUGCCUGCAUCAUUUGUCACUUAAGUAUGUGUUUGUUACUGACCAAAACUGAUUGAUCUAAGCAGUGUAUGAUAAUUUAAUUUUGAUAUGAAGAUACAUAGAAAUAAAUCCAAAAAUUAUCUUUUAAAUUUUUUAUAAGAUAAAAAUACAAAAAAUGAAUAAUUUUCAAGAUGAAAUCAAUAUGCAAGAAAUAUUAUUACUUGGAAAACUUCUGCACCAAAAUGGAGACAAAGUUUUAAAUUCAGUGGGAAAGCUAUCUUUAUCAACAACCUUAUUAUAUAAUUUAAAUUCAGCUUUCUCUUUAAUUGUGGAUGGAUCUGAAGAUUUAGAAGCUUCAUUUCAAGUAUGCAAUAGUUCAAAAAUUGACAUAUUUCGCGACUUGAAAUUUUUACAUGACUUUAUACAGAAGACAAUUGGCCUAAAAUUGAUUUAUUGUCCAAACAAUCCUAAUAUCCCUGUUGAUAUUACUAAAUUUAGGUGUUUGAAACAUCUAGAAUUAAAGAAAAUCAAUAUUAAUUCUGUGAAAGGACUCCAAGAUGUUAGAAGUCAACUUGAAAGUAUUAUCUGUGCUGGUAGAAAAGGAGUUUGUACUUUGAAACAAUUGUUGGCAAAUUGUGGAGGAGAUGCUAGUAUUGGAUUUAUAUGGAGUUCUUUGAAACAUUUAGCAUUACCACAUAAUUCUCUUGAACAAUUGGAUAUAUCUUUAGAAUUAGUACCUUGGUUACAAAUAAUAGAUCUAAGUCAUAAUUUGAUAACAUCUGCAGAUCAAUUAUCUUGUUUACCAAAUUUGAAAUAUGUAAAUCUUGGAUAUAAUAAACUUGAAACAGUACCUACUUUUAAUGAAACUGCAUCACACUUAUUACAAGUAUUAGUUCUAAAGAAUAAUUAUAUAGAAAAUCUAAAUGGUUUACAAAAUUUGGAAUGUUUAACAGAAUUAGAUUUAUCAUAUAAUUGUGUGAUGGAACAUUUAAGCUUGUGGCCUUUAGAAAAAAUGUCUGCUUUGCUAUGGAUAUCCUUGGAAGGCAAUCCCUUAUCGUAUCAUCCGAAAUAUCGAUUACUAGCUAUAAAACAUUUACAUCCAUGUUUGAGUAAUAGCAAGUUUGUUUUAGAUCAUGUGCCACUAUCAAAAUCAGAAAAGGAAAUUAUUGCAGAAAAUCGAUUGUUUGCUAUUAAAUCUAAACAAUUCCUAACAAAUAAAUUUCACACUUCAAUGUCAGAUUCUUUAAAUUCUAGUAGUUUAUUUGCAUCUACAAGUGAAUUAGCAGGAUCAAGUAAUAUGGACAAAAGUUUUUCUAAAAGUAAAAAGAAAUCUAAUAUAAAAGAAGCCAUUAUUGCAGAUGUUGAACAAGAAAAGAAAGAACUAAAAACAGAAACAACAUCAAAAGGACAUCUAGAAACAAAAAAACAAAUUUUAGAGAUACGAAAAAAAUAUGGAGAAGAUAAAUGGUUAAGUAGCCAUGCUGGGACAUUUGUUCAAGAUAUUAUGGGAUUACAGCCUUCAUGUCCAAUGUUAAUACCAGAAUUUGCAAUAGAAAAUUUAGAUUCUAAAAAUAUUGUAGCAAGUGCUGAAAAUUCAGCUAUUCUUUUAAUGAAAAAUACAAAAAUUGAAACAAAUGAAGAAUCUUUAAUGAAAGAGACUAAUGAAAGCAAUAAUGAAAAAGAAAAUGAAAGUGAAGUAUUAAACAAAGAAGAGAAUAUUUCUGAAAUUAUAUUAACCAACAAUGCAAGUGCUCUUGUAAAUAUAUCUGAUCCUUUAUAUGAUCCAGAACGAGAAGGAGGGAAAUUAUAUAUAGUUCAAAAGAAAAAAAAUGCAGACGAAUUAGAAAAUUUAUUUUUAAUGAUAACAUCAAAUGAUAUUAAAGAGAUAGAUUCACUUACUGGAAAAUUGAAAUACUGUUGGUCAAUGAGUUCUGUAUUAUCAUGUGUAUUGGGUAGAAGUGAACCAGUCACAGUGGAUAUAAUUUUUGAUACAACACGAGAACAUCGUCAAAAUAGAAGAUAUUUUGUAAAAUUAGAUGUUGCAAAAGAAAUAGUAAAAAUAAUUAACGAAGAAAUCAAAAAAAGACCAAUGUUAUUGAAAAUUUUUAAAUGUAUGAAAUGUUCAACUCAUUUUUCUCAAGAUUUAGAAUAUGUUACUCUUAUAAAUUCUACUACAUCAGGUAUGAAAUGUCCCACUUGUAAAAGUACUUUAGUUAUAGAAACAGACGAAUUAUCAGUUUUGAACAUGGAAAAUGAUAUUUCUGAAGAUUCAUUAGAAUGCACAAAUAAAAAUCAGUAUUCAGAAAAUCCAAUAAAGGCCAAUUUACAACAUUCUGAGUCUUACUCUAGUAUUGGUGGAAUGGAGAGUGGAGCUAUAUCCGUCACCACUUCUCUGGUGCACUCCGAUUCUCACACUCAAGCUCAAGUCUGUUGUUCAGCUACAAGUUUAGAGGAAUCAAGAGAAUCUACACCAUCUGCAAAUACAUCAAAUAAAAAAUAUGAAAGUGAUAUAGAGGUAUUAAGCAAUCCAAGUCAAAGUAGUAUUGAAGUUUUGGACGAUGCAUCAAGAACUCAUCUUACACCUCAUAGAAAGCGUUCUUCAGAAGAAAGACGUACUGCUAUUGUUCCAUCUCUUUUAACAAUACCUGAUGUAGCUCCAAUUAUAACUGGUUUAACUGAGAGUAGUUCUUCAGGUUCUUUAACAGAUAGUAUAUGUACUGCAUAUGAAAAUAAAAUAAUGAAGCAAGUUAAUGUAGAUGAAAAAUCUCUUAAUAGUAAUGAUAAAGAAAUAAAAUUUACACCUGUAACAAAUUUAACUUCUAUGCUAGGUGGACUACUUCAAAGUAUAAAAAUUGGUAAUAAUAAACCAUUAAUGUUAAAAGAAGAAACAUCACAUCUAAUAAGCAGUAAUAUUCAGUAUUCUUAUACGGAUUUCAACAGCAUAGAUCAUAGAAUAAAAUUGCAUAUCAUUUUAAAUAUAUUUGAACAUGAAAAUGAAGAACUCAUUCUUCUUCUCAGGGCAGAAAUUUUAAUGCAAAAUACAAAAGAAACAUUUCCUGGUUGUUUGGUUUUAUCUACAUUCAAAGUAUAUGUGCUUAAAAUUGUUGGAGUAGAAGGAGAAAAUCCACAACGUUGGUUGCAUAAAGAAAUUAGUUGGACGAUAGAUAGAUUAAAACGUUUUUCACCAAUACCAUUCAAACAAGGUAUUUUAAUUGAAUUAGAACAACCUAACAAAAUUAAUGACGAACCGAAUUCUACUAUUACAUUCUUAUGCGUUCUACAAGAUCUACAAAGGACACUCAAUUUUCUAGUUUAUGUUACUGAUUUUUUAUUACCAUCUAUUUGUGAAGAAGUUGAACUCACAGUCUCAGAAUAUUGUACCUCUUCAAUGUAUCAAUUACUAAAAGAUUGUAAAAAUUACCAAGAUGGAGAUACUGUUAGACACCUCGCAUUAUUUUCUUCUGCCAUAUUAAAAUAUCAAAAUCUCGAAGUUCAACUUAAAUUAUCUAGUUUAAUAGUGACGACAUCUGUCUUAGCAUUAUGUAACAUGCAAUGGCUUCUUCCAGGCAAUAAAGAAUCACCACAUAUAAUAAAAGAACAAGCAAUGAGCAAUUUGAUUGGAGUUGAACAUUAUAACUCCUCACUGACAUUGAAUUUCUUAGAUGAAGUCAUAGGACAGGAGGAAACGUGGAUUCUAGAUUUUGUUUCUAUGAGUGCUGCAGAAAUAGUUGUCACUUCUAUACGAUCUCCAUGGGAGGAACUUUUUUCAAUUCCUUUACAAAAUACAAUUUGCAAAUCACAAGAUUAUGAAAAUGAAUAGAACAUUAAAUAUAGAUAACUAGAAAAGUAUUCUAGUCCAAGAAAAUAUAUCAGUGUUGUAGAACUAUAGCUAUAAUUGAGAUACGUGGAAAUUUGUAUACUCAAGAUAUUCUGUGUUGAUGAUGAUAAUAGAACAUGUAAUAUGUAAAUGAAACAGUUGGAAAUGACUGGAAAUAACUUAGCACGUUUGUUGCAUACAUAAAAUGUCUCAAGUAUGUGCCUAUUAUAUUACUUUUUAAUAGUUAAUAGCAUUGUUAAAUAUCAUUGAAGUCGUGACAAUAU